rnacentral:rRNA from 4 species
CCGCCGCCCGCGACUCGGCGAGAAGUCCAUUGAACCUUAUCAUUUAGAGGAAGGAGAAGUCGUAACAAGGUUUCCGUAGGUGAACCUGCGGAAGGAUCAUUG